rnacentral:tRNA from 1 species
UCUGAUAUGGCAGAAUAGUGCAAUGAAUUUAAGAUUCAUAAAUAAAGAUUAAUUCUUUUAUUAGAA